AACGGUGACGUAGGCUUGAUUUAACCAAUGGGGGCACCGUAUUUGAGUGCAAUAUAUUAUGCAAAGGUUUCGUACAGUAAACAUUUAAUCCUGUAUUUAUUUAGUUGAUGUGAUUUGUUCUAUAUAUAAAAGAUAGAAAGGUGCAGUAUUUUAUUGACAGUGCAGGGUAUAAUUAGUUUUACUAAUUUUACUUGUUUUUAGACCAGUUGCCUUGACUCACUUUAUGAAAGAGAUCAUGAUGAUGAAACCGUUUUUGCUUUAUAUAAAUAUGGUGUGAUUAGCAGUGAGUGGUUCAGAUAAGGUGAGUGUGUUAUCAAAACCAUCAGAGUGGAGCUGCGUGUGCAACAUGUCAAUGCAGUACCAAAGAUCCGCCACAAGAGGGCGGUGUGAGGACGAGGAAUGCGCAGAGCGGCGCACACAUAUAUCAUAUCAUAUCAUAUCAUAUCAUAUCAUAUCAUAUCAUAUCAUAUCAUAUCAUAUCAUAUCAUAUCAUAUCAUAUCAUAUCAUAUCAUAUCAAACUUGGGAAUGGCACCAGAAAACCUUUUUGUAGCUACUCAUCAGCAUUGACAGCAGUCAAUGUGAAUCUCUGCCAACAGAUUCGCCUGCUCUCGGUACCUUGGGCUUCUCCUGCAUCUCUACUGUUACUUAACUACAAACCAGAACCCAGAAACACUCCGGUGAACCGUCAACAGUGUUGAAUUUCAAAGGGGCGAAGGGCUAAUGCUCCUGGAUGGAGCUGAUUGAGUCAAUUUGUCGACAUGAUGGACGUUUCGUGGCCCCGGCUCCUGUCUCCUGCUGACUGCAGGGACCGGGCUCACAGGCUUUCAGGCCUCUUACAGACACACGGCCUCAGCCGGCGGCAGAAAACGCACGGGACGACAAGACAGUUGGACGUUUGCCAACUGGAUCCUUUGCUUCCUGCAAACACCAGCACCGACCUGAGAGUCUGGAGUCGAUGAGGAGGCGGGAGCUUUGCUCGGCAGCGCAGCAUCGUGCGGGUGCAGGCUGGAAUCAGCAUCUCUGAGCUGGUUGUGACCGACGCCAGGCGGCGGCUGAGCUGCUGAGCGGUCGCCUCCGAUUGUGGCUCUUCAGGAUGCUUUUUUCAGGGAACCCAUGCAGCCUGGUCAUCAGCUGAUGGGACCUGGACGGAGUGUCUGCAUGUGUCCUCAGGGCUCAGCAAGCAGCUCCAGCAACAGGACGACCCGCACAUCCAAUGUAGU